rnacentral:rRNA from 1 species
GACGAACGCUGGCGGCGUGCUUAAUACAUGCAAGUCAACUUGACUUUAGAUAGCAAUAUCGAAAAGUAGGGUGGCGCACGGGUGCGUAACGCGUAGGUAAUCUGCCCUGAGGUCUGACAUAACCCGUCGAAAGGCGGGCUAACAUCAGAUGAUAUAUAAUCACGACAUCGUGGAAAUAUCAAAUCUUCGGAGCCUUGGGAUGAGCCUGCGUCUGAUUAGGUAGUUGGCGGAGUAAUAGCCCACCAAGCCUACGAUCAGUAGCUGGUCUGAGAGGAUGAUCAGCCACACUGGAACUGAGACACGGUCCAGACUCCUACGGGAGGCAGCAGUAAGGAAUAUUGCUCAAUGGGGGAAACCCUGAAGCAGCAACGCCGCGUGAAGGAUGAAAUACUUUUGUAUGUAAACUUCUGUAAGAUGGGAAAAAUAUUUCUCCUCGGGAGAAUUGAUUGUACCAUCAGAGUAAG